GUGUCAGCAGCCGCGGUAAUACAGAGGUCCCAAGCGUUGUUCGGAUUUACUGGGCGUAAAGGGCGCGUAGGUGGCGAGCUAAGUCUGGUGUGAAAUCUCUGAGCUUAACUCAGAAAUGGCACUAGAAACUAGUUUGCUUGAGGGUUGGAGGGGAGACUGGAAUUCUCGGUGUAGCAGUGAAAUGCGUAGAUAUCGAGAGGAACACCAGUGGCGAAGGCGAGUCUCUGGACAACACCUGACACUGAGGCGCGAAAGCUAGGGGAGCAAACGGGAUUAGAUACCCCGGUAGUCCUAGCUGUAAACGGUGCACGCUUGCCGUAGGUGGAUUCGACCCCGCCUGUGGCGAAGCUAACGCGUUAAGCGUGCCGCCUGGGAAGUACGGUCGCAAGAUUAAA
rnacentral:rRNA from 1 species